rfam:Hordeum vulgare subsp. vulgare, WGS project CAJW01000000 data, contig: morex_contig_54635
CCGCUUCCUGAGGAUGAGCUCAUCUCCUACAUCCUCGCCGGGCUGGACAUGGAGUACCAACCCCUCAUCUCCGCCCUGGACGCUGGCACCGAGCCCAUCACCCUUGAUGAUCUGUUUGCUCAGAUGAGUAACUUCGAUC